rnacentral:lncRNA from 1 species
CAUUAAGAGAACAGCGAUCAGUUCUGUACACCUUUCUGGCAAUACUAAAAAGCCUUUCUACAGCAGCUGAUGUGUGUGAAAUGGCUAAAUACUUGGUAGCUGUAUUAGCUAAAGAAGAAAGGCACACUGAAUUUGACUUCCAUCAUUCCAGUGCAUUGAUUGAAAUGUCUUCACAUGGCUCAGACAUGUACUGCACCAUACCUGUGUCUAUACUAUUUGAUGGAGUAGUAGGAGGCAUGAAACUGGAAAAGUCACUUUUAAGUUUCUUAGGU